UCAUUGGCAAUCCGCGGCUUUGUAAUGACAAAGAAGUAACCUCACAAUCCUUAUCUGUGUCUAAGGUGUGAAACUGUGUGUAGAGUUUUAUAAAUCACUGUGUUUAAUGUUUUGCAAAAAGGGUGAAGCAGACAUUGUGUGUAAUCUUGUGCAAAUCUUUG